UGCAGUCGAACGGUGAAGCCAAGCUUGCUUGGUGGAUCAGUGGCGAACGGGUGAGUAACACGUGAGCAACCUGCCCUGGACUCUGGGAUAAGCGCUGGAAACGGCGUCUAAUACUGGAUAUGAGCCUCUUCCGCAUGGUGGGGGUUGGAAAGAUUUUUUGGUCUGGGAUGGGCUCGCGGCCUAUCAGCUUGUUGGUGAGGUAAUGGCUCACCAAGGCGUCGACGGGUAGCCGGCCUGAGAGGGUGACCGGCCACACUGGGACUGAGACACGGCCCAGACUCCUACGGGAGGCAGCAGUGGGGAAUAUUGCACAAUGGGCGGAAGCCUGAUGCAGCAACGCCGCGUGAGGGAUGACGGCCUUCGGGUUGUAAACCUCUUUUAGCAGGGAAGAAGCGAAAGUGACGGUACCUGCAGAAAAAGCGCCGGCUAACUACGUGCCAGCAGCCGCGGUAAUACGUAGGGCGCAAGCGUUAUCCGGAAUUAUUGGGCGUAAAGAGCUCGUAGGCGGUUUGUCGCGUCUGCUGUGAAAUCCCGAGGCUCAACCUCGGGCCUGCAGUGGGUACGGGCAGACUAGAGUGCGGUAGGGGAGAUUGGAAUUCCUGGUGUAGCGGUGGAAUGCGCAGAUAUCAGGAGGAACACCGAUGGCGAAGGCAGAUCUCUGGGCCGUAACUGACGCUGAGGAGCGAAAGGGUGGGGAGCAAACAGGCUUAGAUACCCUGGUAGUCCACCCCGUAAACGUUGGGAACUAGUUGUGGGGACCAUUCCACGGUUUCCGUGACGCAGCUAACGCAUUAAGUUCCCCGCCUGGGGAGUACGGCCGCAAGGCUAAAACUCAAAGGAAUUGACGGGGACCCGCACAAGCGGCGGAGCAUGCGGAUUAAUUCGAUGCAACGCGAAGAACCUUACCAAGGCUUGACAUACACCAGAACGGGCCAGAAUGGUCAACUCUUUGGACACUGUGAACAGGU
rnacentral:rRNA from 1 species